rnacentral:rRNA from 1 species
AUUGAACGCUUGGGCGGCAGGUCUAAUACAUGCAAGUCGAACGGUAACAUAAAAGAAGCUUGCUUCUUUUGAUGACGAGUGGCGGACGGGUGAGUAAUAUUUGGGAAACUACCUGAUAGAGGGGGGACAACAGUUGGAAACGACUGCUAAUACCGCAUAAAGCCUGAGGGUGAAAGCAGCAAUGCGCUAUGAGAUGGGCCCGCGUCUGAUUAGCUAGUUGGUGGGGUAAUAGCCUACCAAGGCGACGAUCAGUAGCCGGCUUGAGAGGGUGAACGGCCACAUUGGGACUGAGACACGGCCCAAACUCCUACGGGAGGCAGCAGUGGGGAAUAUUGCACAAUGGGGGAAACCCUGAUGCAGCGACGCCGCGUGAGUGACGAAGUAUUUCGGUAUGUAAAGCUCUAUCAGCAGGGAAGAAAAUGACGGUACCUGACUAAGAAGCACCGGCUAAAUACGUG